UACACUUUAGUAUUGGAUGUAUAAAAGUUUUUGAUUCUUUAGGAAAUAAUUAAAUUUAUUAAGUGUAA
rnacentral:tRNA from 1 species